rnacentral:sRNA from 1 species
ACACAAGAAAGGAGGUGAUCCAGUGGGCUUACCGUUAACCAUCUGGACAUGUGAGGUGAUUGUAACGUAGGCGUGUCCUCCUCACCGGAUCGACUGCCUAUGGAUUUCGCCUGCGGAAUCCCAGCAGUCACCGAGCCCUGAAGCCUUGGUCUUGUCCAACCAGGCCCCGCAAUGCUGUCGCGGGGAAGCGCUUCGGGGUUUUUUAUC